rnacentral:tRNA from 1 species
GGCCGGUUGGCCCAAUGGCAAGGCGUCUGACUACGAUCUAAUCGUGAUAUCAGGAGAUUCUGGGUUCGACCCCCAGGCUGGUCA